GAUAAAGAACGCAGCGAAAUGCGAUAAGUAAUGUGAAUUGCAGAAUUCAGUGAAUCAUCGAAUCUUUGAACGCACAUUGCGCCCGCCAGUAUUCUGGCGGGCAUGCCUGUCUGAGCGUCAUUUCAACCCUCAUGCCCCUAGGGCGUGGUGUUGGGGAUCGGCCAAAGCCCGCGAGGGACGGCCGGCCCCUAAAUCUAGUGGCGGACCCGUCGUGGCCUCCUCUGCGAAGUAGUGAUAUUCCGCAUCGGAGAGCGACGAGCCCCUGCCGUUAAACCCCCAACUUUCCAAGGUUGACCUCAGAUCAGGUAGGAAUACCCGCUGAACUUAAGCAUAUCAAUAAGCGGAGGA
rnacentral:misc_RNA from 1 species